GACGAACGCUGGCGGCGUGCCUAAUACAUGCAAGUAGAACGCACAGGAUGCACCGUAGUUUACUACACCGUAUUCUGUGAGUUGCGAACGGGUGAGUAACGCGUAGGUAACCUGCCUGGUAGCGGGGGAUAACUAUUGGAAACGAUAGCUAAUACCGCAUAAGAACAUUUACUGCAUGGUAGAUGUUUAAAAGGUGCAAGAGCAUCACUACCAGAUGGACCUGCGUUGUAUUAGCUAGUUGGUGAGGUAACGGCUCACCAAGGCAACGAUACAUAGCCGACCUGAGAGGGUGAUCGGCCACACUGGGACUGAGACACGGCCCAGACUCCUACGGGAGGCAGCAGUAGGGAAUCUUCGGCAAUGGGGGGAACCCUGACCGAGCAACGCCGCGUGAGUGAAGAAGGUUUUCGGAUCGUAAAGCUCUGUUGUUAAGGAAGAACGUGUGUGAGAGUGGAAAGUUCACACAGUGACGGUACUUAACCAGAAAGGGACGGCUAACUACGUGCCAGCAGCCGCGGUAAUACGUAGGUCCCGAGCGUUGUCCGGAUUUAUUGGGCGUAAAGCGAGCGCAGGCGGUUAGAUAAGUCUGAAGUGAAAGGCAGUGGCUCAACCAUUGUAGGCUUUGGAAACUGUUUAACUUGAGUGCAGAAGGGGAGAGUGGAAUUCCAUGUGUAGCGGUGAAGUGCGUAGAUAUAUGGAGGAACACCGGUGGCGAAAGCGGCUCUCUGGUCUGUAACUGACGCUGAGGCUCGAAAGCGUGGGGAGCGAACAGG
rnacentral:rRNA from 1 species